rnacentral:lncRNA from 1 species
CUACAAACAUGUCAGAGUAGGAGAGUGCAGUCCUAUGACCCGAUCUAGGGAGAAUCUCAUAGGUGACUAUGUGGUGAACAACUUUAGGGAGAGUGUUGAGGUCACAGGCCUUAAGCCUAGAGGGCUCCUCACGAUCUACGUCUUCUAAAAUGAUCCUAGUCUGGUGAAGGGAAGAGACCUCACCAGUGAUCCACUUAUGAGUGGUAGAGACAACAGCCCCAGAGUUGGAGACACCUAGAUGCCGAGCAAUGAUGUCAGGAGUGAGGAAAACUCUCUGACCAUUUACAAAACUGACCAGGUGGG